rnacentral:rRNA from 1 species
UACGGAGGGUGCAAGCGUUAUCCGGAUUCACUGGGUUUAAAGGGUGCGUAGGUGGGUUGGUAAGUCAGUGGUGAAAUCCCCGAGCUUAACUUGGGAACUGCCAUUGAUACUAUCAGUCUUGAAUACCGUGGAGGUCAGUGGAAUAUGUCAUGUAGCGGUGAAAUGCUUAGAUAUGACAUAGAACACCAAUUGCGAAGGCAGCUGGCUACACGAAUAUUGACACUGAGGCGCGAAAGCGUGGGGAUCAAACAGG